rnacentral:ribozyme from 1 species
AUCAGUUGCUCUGCAAUGGGAUGGGAUCCGAAGUCCCUCGAGGGAUAAAACAGGCUCUCCCAUCCAACUCCUAUUCCGACACGUCCUCGUCGUGCAGAGUGGUAACAUGUGCCUCCAUAUAUCCUAGCUUGGGUACACGGGCCAUUAGAUCCAAUCCCUUGGGCGGAUGGUGGUACAUGGCGAACCAGGAGGGG